GCUCCAGUGGCGCAAUCGGUCAGCGCGCGGUACUUAUAAUGCCGAGGUUGUGAGUUCGAGCCUCACUUGGAGCA